CACUGUUGAAAUGUGCACACAUUUACUCUGCUGUGAACAGGUGACCAUGUAAUGACCCUUAUAAGCAACAGUCAGACAGUGAGGGCUAUUUCGUAUGCACACAGACUCAAAAAGCAUAAAACAGAAACAUGAAUAAGAUUUUGGCCAUCUUAAGUUUAACUGCAUUUCUCUGCUGCUGUGGUGUGCAGAGUGCUGAAUCAUAUGACUUGAGACGACAAAUCGUCAAUUCUGGGACUGUAGUCUUUUUAGACUUCCUGGAAAAAGUCAGAAACGCUACAGAGAAAUUAGUGAGAGAUGAGCAGUUUAGAAAAUCAAGGAUUUCUAUCCAAGGAUACAUGAAAACCUUAAGAGAGUUGGCAAAACCACUGAAAAAUUGUGAGAGUGCUAGAGAGAGCCAGGAUAAUUCAGCUAUAUUGCCACAGUAAGUCUGUCCACAUUUAU